AAAUUGAAGAGUUUGAUCAUGGCUCAGAUUGAACGCUGGCGGCAGGCCUAACACAUGCAAGUCGAACGGUAACAGGAAGCAGCUUGCUGUUUCGCUGACGAGUGGCGGACGGGUGAGUAAUGUCUGGGAAACUGCCUGAUGGAGGGGGAUAACUACUGGAAACGGUAGCUAAUACCGCAUAACGUCGCAAGACCAAAGAGGGGGACCUUCGGGCCUCUUGCCAUCGGAUGUGCCCAGAUGGGAUUAGCUAGUAGGUGGGGUAACGGCUCACCUAGGCGACGAUCCCUAGCUGGUCUGAG
rnacentral:rRNA from 1 species